rnacentral:lncRNA from 1 species
AAGCCAUCACCAUCAUUCCAAGAAAUCUUGUUUCUCUGCAACUGGAGAUUUAGAAAAUUCAUCUGGUUUGCCCUGAUUUACACCAGAAUGAAUUCAUACAUUGGAAACUGAGCAUGGCAAGAAAUCACUGGCACUGCAGGGGACUUCUGGAGAAAUAAUGAUUGUAGUGGGAGACUUUGAAGAACAAGGACCAAACAACACUUUCUCUCCUGCAGUAAUGGAGCCUGAGAUGGAGGCAACACGUUUAACUGCGAAAACAAAACAGCUCUGAAUCUUGUCCCCUCUGUGAAAAGACUCAGAUACACAGGAGUACCCAUCUCUGGCUCUGAUCCUAUCAUCUCUAUCUCCUGCAAAAGUAAGUAUUAAAAAUCUGCCUCCUCUCCUUCCCUGACUGUGAUCGCUGCGGCUCCAUAGGUAGCCCAUGGAAAACAGCUUAACAAGGUUACCACGGUGUCACACUGGAAGUAGCCAGCAACUCUUUUCAGUUUAUUAUUCGUGCUGUUAAGUAUGACCUGGAAAUUUGUAUCGUUGUGUAACCAGAUGUCAGUUCCUUCAAUCCCUACAAAGCCACUUUUUUUCUCCCCUUCCCCCUCCUCCGAUGGCUAUCCAGAGAAAUGAAAAGCCCGCAAUGUGGGUUCAUGCUCCUGACAAGAUGAGUAUUGUCAGGAAUAUACAAGC